rnacentral:rRNA from 1 species
AACGAACGCUGGCGGCAUGCCUAACACAUGCAAGUCGAACGAGACCUUCGGGUCUAGUGGCGCACGGGUGCGUAACGCGUGGGAACCUGCCCUUAGGUUCGGAAUAACUCCCCGAAAGGGGUGCUAAUACCGGAUAAUGUCUUCGGACCAAAGAUUUAUCGCCUUUGGAUGGGCCCGCGUUGGAUUAGCUAGUUGGUAGGGUAAAAGCCUACCAAGGCGACGAUCCAUAGCUGGUCUGAGAGGAUGAUCAGCCACACUGGGACUGAGACACGGCCCAGACUCCUACGGGAGGCAGCAGUGGGGAAUAUUGGACAAUGGGCGAAAGCCUGAUCCAGCUAUGCCGCGUGAGUGAUGAAGGCCUUAGGGUUGUAAAGCUCUUUUACCCGGGAUGAUAAUGACAGUACCGGGAGAAUAAGCUCCGGCUAACUCCGU